rnacentral:lncRNA from 1 species
UGCAAAAAAUUUUUGUUAUGCUGUUACCGUCAUGUGACCACUGUCUAUAAAUUCCUGUUGUGUUAUGGAGUGGAGUAGGUGCUGUGUAAUUCACUGGUGAGACCUCUUGGUGCUAUUGCUGCUCUUCUGGUGUUGAUCAGGCUGCUAAGAACCCACACUGCCUUCCUCAAGUGCCUGUGAUUCCAAAGGCAGCACAGCUGCAG